rnacentral:rRNA from 1 species
AGAGUUUGAUCCUGGCUCAGAACGAACGCUGGCGGCGCGCCUAACACAUGCAAGUCGCACGAGAGGCUCUUCGGAGUAGUAAAGUGGCGCACGGGUGAGUAAUACAUGGGCAAUCUGCCUUUGAGAGGGGAAUAACCAGCCGAAAGGCUUGCUAAUACCCCAUACGCUUCCGGUCCCUCGGGUAAGGAAGGAAAGCUGCAUCGUGGAUGUGGCGCUCGAAGAUGGGCCCAUGGCCUAUCAGCUUGUUGGUAGGGUAACGGCCUACCAAGGCUACGACGGGUAGCUGGUCUGAGAGGACGAUCAGCCACACUGGCACUGAGAUACGGGCCAGACUCCUACGGGAGGCAGCAGUGAGGAAUAUUGCGCAAUGGGCGAAAGCCUGACGCAGCGACGCCGCGUGGGGGAAGAAGGUUCUCGGAUUGUAAACCCCUUUUAGGAGGAAAGAUGGGGUGGGAAACCACCCGGACGGUACCUCCAGAAAAAGCCACGGCUAACUUCGUGCCAGCAGCCGCGGUAAUACGAAGGUGGCGAGCGUUAUUCGGAUUUACUGGGCGUAAAGAGCACGUAGGCGGUUUGGUAAGCCCCUUGGGAAAGCUCCGGGCUUAACCCGGAAAGGUCGAGGGGGACUGCCAAGCUAGAGGGCGGGAGA